GAUGAACGCUGGCGGCGUGCCUAAUACAUGCAAGUCGAGCGAACAGACGAGGAGCUUGCUCGUCUGUCGUUAGCGGCAGACGGGUGUGUCACACGUGUAUCACCUACCUAUCAGACUGGGAUAUCUUCGGGAAACCGGCUCUUAUCCCGGAUAACCUCCUGAUCCGCAUGGUUCAAUAGUGAAAUUCGGUCUUUCUGUCUCUUCUAGAUGGUUCCGCGCUGCAUUAGCUAGUUGUUACGGUCACGGCGUACGAAGGCAAGGAUGCGUAGCCGACCGGACAGGGUGAUCGGCGACACGGGAGCUGAGACGCGGUCCAGACGCCUACGGGAGGCAGCAGAAGGGAAUCGUCCGCAAUGGGCGAAAGCCUGACGGAGUAACGCCGCGUGAGUGAAGAAGGUCUUCGGAUCGUAAAACUCUGUUAUUAGUUAAGAACAAAUGUGUAAGUAACUAUGCACGUCUUGACGGUACCUGAUCAGAAAGCCACGGCUAACUACGUG
rnacentral:rRNA from 1 species